ensembl:snRNA U6 U6 spliceosomal RNA
GUGUUAGUCUUCCCUGAACACCUCAUAUAUAACAUUGGAAUGAUACAGAAAUUAGCUUGGCCCCUGCUCAAAGAUGACACAAAUUCUUGGAGCAUUUCUCUUUCAU